rnacentral:rRNA from 1 species
AACUGCUCAGAGGCAAACGGGUGGGCCCUCGAAAUCCAUCUGCGAGGGGAUUCAGUCGGAAGGCGGAUGGGCCUGGCGCUGUACAGAGGUGCACGGCUGCCGGGCCGGACCCGAAUCGUCCGACGCACUUCCCCUCGCGCUGUGGACGCUGCAGCCGGUCUGGCCGUGACACAAGUCGGCCGUGAGGACUUGCGACGGCAGGUGACCGAGCCCCCGGCUUGACCGUGGCGGUUCGGUUGUUAGCCGGCUCGUCCGGGCGCGACGCCAGACCGAGGCGCUGGGAUCUCUCCGGAGCCGGCCGUGUCCUCGCCACAAUAGCGAGCGGGGCGCCGUGUCAGGGGCUCGCGGUUGCGAGGGGAGCCACGGUCGACCGUGGCCCUCUCCCUCUGCCCCUCGAUGGACGCGGAUUGCCGACCGCGGCGACGCGACGCUGGCUGGCAGCGAGUAGGUCGGUCACCCACCCGACCCGUCUUGAAACACGGACCAAGGAGUCUAACAUGUGCGCGAGUCGCAGAGUCUUGUUCAGGCUCUCGGGCGCAAUGAGAGUGAAGGCCGAUCCCGUCGGCCGUGUCGGGAAGUCUCCCCCCAGUGGGGGGACGCACCGACGACCCGUCCCGUCCGAUUUAUCGGUGGGGCGGAGUCCGAGCGCACACGUUGGGACCCGAAAGAUGGUGAGCUAUGCCUGGGCAGGACGAAGCCAGAGGAAACUCUGGUGGAAGUCCGCAGCGGUUCUGACGUGCAAAUCGAUCGUCAGACCUGGG